rnacentral:rRNA from 1 species
AUGCCCACCAACGCUGCUAUAUCACACCUCAUCCCCCUAUGCCUUGGCCAUCUUUCUGCAUUCAUCAAACACCCAGACGCCAUGAUUUCUGCCCUCACACUUGUCUCCUUCCAGUCUCCCUCUCUCAACCCUAAACAGCGCCUCUUGUCCCGGCGACACAAGAUAAGCGCCAAGUGGGGGAAGAGCCAACAAUGUUCGCCAAAGCCCAUACGAUCAAUACCAGGGCCAAAAGCAACCAGCUGUGGUCUCAACAAAGCUUUCCAUGGAGAUGGAGUUAAUGCCUUACCAUCUUCCCCCCUGACAGAUGUGAUUCACGAGUUGUACUCCUCCCUCAAUGACAAGGACAUCGCACGGCUCAUGGAGCUGAUUGACCCUGACUGCACCGUCGAGCACACUUCCUAUUACAAACCACUCAACUUCAAGGUUAUUCUCUCAUCUGCUCCAAUAUCUCUGCAACACCACCGUACUUCUCUAUCCCGACAAGUGAACAGCAAGAAAGAGGUGGCUGAAGAAGUGAAUCGCGCAUCUAUAACAAAUAAACUACAGAAAUUUUCAAAAAGUACUGCACAACCUGCUCUGGCAUACUGCACGGCUGGGCUCGUCCGACAUGUGACCAUCGAUGGCCGUCAGAUUGUAGCCUGCGCGCCUGCAAUUUUCAAAGAAAAAGCAAUGAACUGCACAAAAGAAGCCCUGAACCGAAAACUAUGCAAAACACUUUCAAACAGAACCGCGAACACCUGGCCGGAGGAGCUGCAACAGAGAGCCAGCCGAGCUGCACUAUAG